GCAAUGGUCAAAGUAAAAAAACAAGAAAAAAAGGAAUAUAAAAAGGUGAUUUUGGGGCUGUUUUCAGGUUUAGAGAGAGAGAGAGAGAGACAUACUUUAAGGGGCAGGACCACCUAACACCAAUGCCCAACCCCCUCACCCUCUGAAGACACACUAAUGCACAUUUACUUUCUCUCACUUUGGCUCUCAGUGCCUCUGUCCAGACUGCUGCUUCAGACCUCACCGCCCUUUCCAUUUAAGCCAACUUUAAGCCACACUUCUGAGGGUGUGAGCCAGCAUUUCAUCCACAGCCUGCUGUACUUUCAGGAGUCUCUUAAUUUGUUAAAGUUUAAGUUGGAGAAAAGUGACCAACAGUGACCAUGAUGAGGAUCAUACUGCUGUUGCUGGUCACCCUGGCGGGGCCUUUCUGUAUCUUUACCCAAGCAAGUACUCUGAUGGUGCCAACAGCUGUUACUGCAACUACAGAAUCAAAUAGUGUAAAAAAUCAGACUGAUUUCCCUGCUGAAAAAGAGGGAUCAACUCCUCAAGAUGCGGUCUCAACGUCACUGCCUGCUCCUGAGGCAACAGAAGCAACUAACGCAACAGAACUUACAGCGGUUUCCACAACACCACCAGUAUUACAAUCAGAAGCCCAAACAGAUACAUCACAAUCAACAGAAGCUGGACCUAAAGAGACAAAGAGCCCUGAAGCCUCUACUGUCACCAAAGAGGCAGGAGCAGAAACUGGGAAAGCUAAAGAAACAGCGACUCCAUCAGAGACUCCACAUGUAGAGGUGGAGACUGAAGGUAUGGGCACAGGACAGUUGGUGGGGAUCGUAUUUGGCGCUUUGAUCACAGUGAUUGUUGUCAUUGCUAUUAUCAUCUUGGUGGCCAGAAGAAUGGGCCAAUACUCACCCUAAAAAGAAAGGCCCGACAGGACGAGAAGAAGAAGAAAUUCUGGAAGUUAUGAACUAUUGUUCUGAUGUUUAAAACAAUGCAAGCAGCACUCUCACCACCCAUCCAGGACUUACACGGGGAGCAGGAGAGUGUCCCAUCCCCUUUCCCAUUGAAAAAAUGCCCUCCCCUUUUUUUGUCACCCUGAAAUCCUCAUUUAUCUCUCAACAGGGGAGGCCAGAGGAUGUUACAGUAUAUAUUUUUAAUGCAUAUUAAUUUAACGGGAGAUGAAUGAAUAUGGAGUUUGUGAAGGGCCUAAUAAACAAAAACAAAGAAACAGCUGCCCAUGCAAGCAAAAGCUUAUAUUUUUUUUUAUUCCACUGAUUAUUAAUAACAUACAGAAAAAAAAACCUAAUCCAAAAGCAUUUAUAUUUUCUUAAUUUCUCUUUUUCCCACUUCAACAGUUGUGUCCAACAGGACUAUGACGCAUUAGGUACAGUCUAUGAACUGUCAUAAGCAGAUGCUAAGGACACAUUCUGUUCUCAAGAUGUGUAAGUGGCAUUAACUAAUAAAUCUUUUUAAAUUAUUAGUUAAGGGGAGCAGCACACUAUAAGUGCUUGAGAUUUACUCUUUUGAAGUGCAUUAAUACGGAGUGACUUGACCGUCUUGUUCUAAACUGUCACCCAUUCCAAAAGUGACAUCACUUCCUCUGGAACACAUCUUUUAUUGUGUGUUCCAAUCAUCUUAACUCCAGAGCACAGCUGCUAUUGGCAUGUAUCUCUAAAAUCCUGAUGUUCCUCAGCCUGGACUAUAUCAUUUUAACAGAAUACAGACAUUUUGCAUGGUAUAGUUGUUUGCAUUUCUUUUUGUCAGUGUUAGGGUUUGUGUUUCUUACCGGCGUUCAGAUCAGUAGUUGCACUGAAUGAUGAAGAAUAACAUGUUUAAUAUUUUAGAAGACACUGCAACUGUUUGUCAAAGAUAUUUUGUUGUUUUUUUUUUUUCUUUUGCCAGAUUCCUCUUUGUAUCCCGUUGCUCCAUAAUUGCAUUUUACCUAUUUGAUGUCAGAAUCCAGUUAAAGCAGAGUGUUUGUCUUUGUAUUUGGGGUGGUGUUUUUUUCUUUAUUGUUCAAUCAAUUUAAAUAAAAAAAGUUACUAAAGUAUGUUGCACUUCCAUAUUGUGUUGUUGUGGAUCCCAGAUUACAUUGUCUGUUUAUUGGUGUUUCAGCCCCUUUUACUCACCAUUCCAGCUUUUCACACACAUAGUCUCUUUCUCACACAAACACACACCCACACAUUCCCUCUCUCUGUCUCUCUAAUCCCUUAGGAUAUAAAGACUGUAAGAGACAAGUGAGAGAGAGGAAGAGCCAAUGAAUAAAGGCAUCUUUGUAAAUAUGACUAUGUACUUAGGUGACCUCUCUGGUUAAGUAGAGUAAAUAACAUGAGGGUCCCAAACAGCUGCCCCCAAAACGUAUGGACUUUCAUUUGGAAGUGAAUCGGAACAAAGUGUUUGUCAGAUUAUUAUUAUUUUUGGCCUUCUCAUCACUUUUCCAUUUCAGAUUCCAAAUGUUUUACUUCACUUAAUGCGCACAUGUUUUUAUUAAACUAUUUUGUAAACACAUGUUGUACUGUGGAUCUUAUUGUUAGCGAUUAUCCAUGUUUAAUUGUAUUUUUUGACCUUGUCAUGUUUAAUUAAAAUGGCAUAUCUCAAGCUUCCUGUGAAAACAAAUUGUAUGCCUAAGUAGAUCGUAGAAACCCCUGGCUCAAAUCUGUGAUUUUCUUACGCUUACAAUGCUUUUGGAAAACGCAGCCCAAACCAAAGCAGGUGUCAACUCACUGAUUCAACGAUGCAGUCAGAGUGAGUCUCAACCUAACAAAUCACUAAAUCAGUGAAUGUCCAACUCGAAAUGAGCCAAGAAGCGAAAAAUCACAUGAUCUUUUGUGCUGGUGUGUCUUCGUCCAUUAAUAAGAUAACAAAAUAUAAAAAUCAAGUGCCAAUCAUUAUAAAUAAAUUUUAAUACACACAUAACUUUUGAGCAAAAUUAUAAAUAUAAAAUUUUAAAUAUACAAUUUUGAACACUUUCUGGUUGCCAAAUAUUAGUGGAACAUGUUCAUAUUUAAUAUGCACUACACCUAUGUUGUAGUAAAUUGUAGUUUGCUUAUACUGGUCUUGAAAUUAGUCCUCCAGUAUUGAUCAUUUACUAAUCUGUUUUUUUAAUAUCUAAAAUAUCUCAUUCUCUCUUUAUUAAUUGAAAGCCCUCUAAUAAUAAACAUGAUGAAAGUCACUUUUGCUUGUGUUUUUGUGAGUGAGCAUGUAUGAGGCUGAAUGUGGUUUUAGGCAGUAGCCCAGCUACACUCUCUCUCUAGCUAUGAACAAUGGACUCUUUUAGUGGGAGACCCACUCUGACGUCCUGCUCACAGUCUAAACUCUAAAACUGUUUAUUUGUGAUAAAAUGAUUUCUACAUUGCGAGUGAGAAGGGCACUUCCUGACCAGUAAAAGCCUUUAUGCACACUCACAUGAACACACAGGAAAGACCUAGAAGUUCCAGAACACAAAACAAUGUCUGGAUAUGCACACACACUGAAAAAACAAAUAUACACACAAUUUUGCAAAUUGUAAAAAUAUAACCUCAGUGACAUCACAGGUUUGUAAGCAGAUUAGGUAGACUGAAUAAAUGCUUGCAGAAAAUAGGGAACACAGACCCUCAGACAAUCCUAUCAAGUCCUGCUAACACAAACACACACAUACAUGUAUGCUAAAACUAUAAAACACUACAGUUAAUCCUUAAUCAUGUAUAUUUGAUUUUUAAACAUUCUCUUGUCCAAUUCCUCUCUGUGACUUUGGUAAAAAUCACAAAUAAAUACAUUUUUAAUCUCAUUUCCCUAUAGUAGAGAAAAAAUCACUUUAUCAAAGUUAUUUCUC
rnacentral:lncRNA from 1 species